rnacentral:rRNA from 1 species
AGCGAACGCUGGCGGCAGGCCUAACACAUGCAAGUCGAACGAAGUCUUCGGACUUAGUGGCGGACGGGUGAGUAACACGUGGGAACGUACCUUUUGGUUCGGAACAACUCAGGGAAACUUGAGCUAAUACCGGAUGAGCCCUUAGGGGGAAAGAUUUAUCGCCGAAAGAGCGGCCCGCGUUAGAUUAGCUAGUUGGUGAGGUAAAGGCUCACCAAGGCCACGAUCUAUAGCUGGUCUGAGAGGAUGAUCAGCCACACUGGGACUGAGACACGGCCCAGACUCCUACGGGAGGCAGCAGUGGGGAAUCUUGCGCAAUGGGCGAAAGCCUGACGCAGCCAUGCCGCGUGAAUGAUAAAGGUCUUAGGAUUGUAAAAUUCUUUUACCAGGGACGAUAAUGACGGUACCUGGAGAAAAAGCCCCGGCUAACUUCGUGCCAGCCGCCGCGGUAACAC